CUAGUAAUCGCGGAUCAGCAUGCCGCGGUGAAUACGUUCUCGGGCCUUGUACACACCGCCCGUCACACCAUGGGAGUCGGUAACACCCGAAGUCUGUAGCCUGACGCAAGAGGGCGCAGCCGAAGGUGGGAUUGAUGACUGGGGUGAAGUCGUAACAAGGUAUC
rnacentral:rRNA from 1 species